GACUUGCGGUGUAGCGGUAAGCGUGGUUGCCUCUCACCCAGUCGGCCUGGGUUCGAUCCCAGAAGGCC
rnacentral:tRNA from 1 species